rnacentral:lncRNA from 1 species
CCAAAAACUGUAGAAUAAACAUAAAUAAAACGUUUAAGAUGCCGCUCGACAUAUACAAAUAUUUACUUUCAAACUGAAUCAACUCUCGAAACCCGGAAUCUCAUGAAAUCACAAGCUGCUGAAUAACUACAAAUGUUCUAACUCCAGAAUGUCUAAACAAAAGUAAAUAAAGGAGAGCUAAAGCUAGAGGGGAGAAUAGAGAGGGACUCCUCAGUCUGCAGACGCGGCAGAUAUACCUCGAAGUCUCUAAAUAUCGCCUCGCCUCACUGGAAGUAUGGUUGAGCCGAAAAACCUGGAUGUGCACACGAAAAAUAUGCACAGAAGGGGCAUGUACACGACAGCAGUACGCAACAAGUGAUAAGACUAACCUUGGUCGAGAGUGACGAGGAAGGUCAGGGCCCUACUGAUUAUAGAUGAAAAAUAAGGUAAAACAAUAUAGAAUAUACCAAUCUAACUAAAAUUCUAACAGUCUAUAACGAAUAAAAUCACAGAAAGAAUCUAGCUCAGUACACAGAAAUGGCAAUAGGGGAGCUAUCUGGAUAUCAUCCCGUAGUCCCGAACGUAAAUGUCCAGAAGAGCUCACAUGAUAUUGUCCCGUAGUUCGAAUCAUAAAUAUGCAGGGAAAACUCCCGAAAUACCAUUCCGUAGUCCCAAGGUAAAUAUCCAGUACAAGGGAUCUACCGGGUGUUGUCCUGUAGUCCCAAAUAUAAAUGUGCAGUUGGAUAUACCGGAAUACCAACCCGUAGUCCCAAAAUAAACAUGCAGGGGGAAAUCCUGGUAUAUCGUCUUAUAGUCCCAAAGUAAACACACAACCAUCUCAGAAGAAUAUACAGUUCUAUUCAAGAAUUAAAAAGGAAAUUUCUACUUUAACAUGUUGCACAAAGUACAAAUAGGCAAUUAAGGCAGGUAAAAUAAUUAAGUCACGUAAACAUGCUUUUUCUAAUCUAAAUAAGAGGCUUCAAGUACAAGUAUUUUCUAAUUACAAGAAAACAUAGGUACUAGCUUAAUGAAAAACGAAUUUUAACAAUUAGUACGUGUACACACUCAUCACCUUACUUACAUAACAAAAAUAACAAAUACUAAAGGGAGUUUUUCCACAUAAGGUAGGCAAGCCUCUUACCUCGAACCAGCUCAACCAACUCAUAGUCACAUUCUUGCCACAAAUACCCGAUUUCAAUGGACCAAAUCUAUCCAAGGUAAUUGAAUAAUAUAAAUAUAACUUCAAGUAACUAAUUUAACUAAUUAGUUUAAAGCUAACAUGCGAAAUUAAGAAAAUCAGCCAAACUUUCAGAAUAUCACAGGAAGAGAUAAGACGAGAAAGGUGAAGAAAUGGAGUUUGGUGCUCAUAUUCAGGAAAGGGAACCAUAACC